rfam:Holospora obtusa F1 contig000005, whole genome shotgun sequence.
GGGCUAGUAGCUCAGCUGGUCAGAGCGCACGCUUGAUAAGCGUGAGGUCGUAGGUUCAAGUCCUACCUGGCCCA